rnacentral:rRNA from 1 species
UAGGGAAUCUUCGGCAAUGGGGGGAACCCUGACCGAGCAACGCCGCGUGAGUGAAGAAGGUUUUCGGAUCGUAAAGCUCUGUUGUUAAGGAAGAACGAGUGUGAGAAUGGAAAGUUCAUACUGUGACGGUACUUAACCAGAAAGGGACGGCUAACUACGUGCCAGCAGCCGCGGUAAUACGUAGGUCCCGAGCGUUGUCCGGAUUUAUUGGGCGUGGAGUAAAGCGAGCGCAGGCGGUUAGAUAAGUCUGAAGUUAAAGGCAGUGGCUCAACCAUUGUAGGCUUUGGAAACUGUUUAACUUGAGUGCAGAAGGGGGAGAGUGGAAUUCCAUGUGUAGCGGUGAAAUGCGUAGAUAUAUGGAGGAACACCGGUGGCGAAAGCGGCUCUCUGGUCUGUAACUGACGCUGAGGCUCGAAAGCGUGGGGAGCGAACAGGAUUAGAUACCCUGGUAGUCCACGCCGUAAACGAUGAGUGCUAGGUGUUAGGUCCUUUCCGGGACUUAGUGCCGCAGCUAACGCAUUAAGCACUCCGCCUGGGGAGUACGACCGCAAGGUUG